UAGAGUUUGAUCCUGGCUCAGAUUGAACGCUGGCGGCAGGCCUAACACAUGCAAGUCGAGCGGUUGACGGGAGCUUGCUCCCUGAUUCAGCGGCGGACGGGUGAGUAAUGCCUAGGAAUCUGCCUAUUAGUGGGGGACAACGUUUCGAAAGGAACGCUAAUACCGCAUACGUCCUACGGGAGAAAGCAGGGGACCUUCGGGCCUUGCGCUAAUAGAUGAGCCUAGGUCGGAUUAGCUAGUUGGUGGGGUAAUGGCUCACCAAGGCGACGAUCCGUAACUGGUCUGAGAGGAUGAUCAGUCACACUGGAACUGAGACACGGUCCAGACUCCUACGGGACGCAGCA
rnacentral:rRNA from 1 species